ACGCUCGACACCUACGGGAGCAGCAGUGGGGAAUAUUGCACAAUGGGGGAAACCCUGAUGCAGCGACGCCGCGUGAGCGAAGAAGUAUUUCGGUAUGUAAAGCUCUAUCAGCAGGGAAGAUAAUGACGGUACCUGACUAAGAAGCUCCGGCUAAAUACGUGCCAACAGCCGCGGUAAUCUGAGCGGGCUGGCAAGGC
rnacentral:rRNA from 1 species